CAGUACAACGGGCGUCAUGCACCUGCAAAGCGGGAGUCGCUGGACGGUGUAAACAUGCUGCAGCCGUGUGCUGUUACAUAAACGAGGAAGAGGAGACCUCGUGCACAGGACAGCCUCAGAGGUGGGGCAAACCAACGCCAAAGCCGCAGAGAGAUAUGUCAAAAGGGAUGGACGACUUGUUUCCCGAGCUGAUGAGGCUACUCCUGUCGUCUCUGCUGAGCGCUGCUGAUGUGGCUGCCUGCAUCACUGAUCAUUGGUUGCUGACCCAAUGAUCAUUCAUCUGCAUUCUCUGAAUCAACCAACCAUAACCGGGCCCGAAAGAGGAAGACACCAGCAGAUGUCCUCAAGGCGUACCCUGGGUUUACUUGCUCGCUUACUGUGGUUAUUGAGUCUGAGGCAAAGGGUGCGAUUCAAUGGGAUUGCCAAGAAGUGCUUGAUGGAA